rnacentral:rRNA from 1 species
GCCAGACUCCUACGGGAGGCAGCAGUGGGGAAUAUUGCACAAUGGGGGAAACCCUGAUGCAGCGACGCCGCGUGAGCGAUGAAGUAUUUCGGUAUGUAAAGCUCUAUCAGCAGGGAAGAAGAUGACGGUACCUGACUAAGAAGCCCCGGCUAACUACGUGCCAGCAGCCGCGGUAAUACGUAGGGGGCAAGCGUUAUCCGGAUUCACUGGGUGUAAAGGGAGCGUAGACGGCGACGCAAAUCUGGAGUGAAAGCCCGGGGCCCAACCCCGGGACUGCUCUUGGAACUGCGUGGCUGGAGUGCAGGAGGGGCAGGCGGAAUUCCUGGUGUAGCGGUGAAAUGCGUAGAUAUCAGGAGGAACACCGGUGGCGAAGGCGGCCUGCUGGACUGCAACUGACGUUGAGGCCCGAAAGCGUGGGGAGCAAACAGGAUUAGAUACCCCAGUA